UGGGGAAUAUUGGACAAUGGGCGCAAGCCUGAUCCAGCCAUGCCGCGUGAGUGAUGAAGGCCCUAGGGUUGUAAAGCUCUUUCAGUGGGGAAGAUAAUGACGGUACCCACAGAAGAAGCCCCGGCUAACUUCGUGCCAGCAGCCGCGGUAAUACGAAGGGGGCUAGCGUUGUUCGGAUUUACUGGGCGUAAAGCGCACGUAGGCGGAUAGUUAAGUGAGGGUGAAAUCCCAGGGCUCAACCCUGGAACUGCCUUUCAUACUGGCUAUCUCGAGUCCGGAAGAGGUGAGUGGAACUCCUAGUGUAGAGGUGGAAUUCGUAGAUAUUAGGAAGAACACCAGUGGCGAAGGCGGCUCACUGGUCCGGUACUGACGCUGAGGUGCGAAAGCGUGGGGAGCAAACAGGAUUAGAUACCCCCGUAGUCCCUGAGCGGGCUGGCAAGGCGCAU
rnacentral:rRNA from 1 species